rnacentral:tRNA from 1 species
GGAGUUGUAGCUCAGUGGCAGAGCACUUGCCUAGCAUGUGUGAGGCACUGGGUUCGAUCCCCAGCACCA